GAUGAAGAACGUAGCGAAAUGCGAUAAGUAGUGUGAAUUGCAGAAUUCAGUGAAUCAUCGAAUCUUUGAACGCACAUUGCGCCCCUUGGUAUUCCAUGGGGCAUGCCUGUUCGAGCGUCAUUUGUACCUUCAAGCUCCGCUUGGUGUUGGGUGUUUGUCUCGCCUCUGCGUGUAGACUCGCCUCAAAACAAUUGGCAGCCGGCGUAUUGAUUUCGGAGCGCAGUACAUCUCGCGCUUUGCACUCAUAACGACGACGUCCAAAAGUACAUUUUUACACUCUUGACCUCGGAUCAGGUAGGGAUACCCGCUGAACUUAAGCAUAUCAAUAAGCGGAGGA
rnacentral:misc_RNA from 1 species